rnacentral:rRNA from 1 species
AUUGAACGCUGGCGGCAUGCCUUACGCAUGCAAGUCGAACGGCAGCAUGGAGAGCUUGCUCUCUGAUGGCGAGUGGCGAACGGGUGAGUAAUGCAUCGGAACGUACCGUGUAAUGGGGGAUAACGUAGCGAAUGUUACGCUAAUACCGCAUACGACCUGAGGGUGAAAGCAGGGGAUCGCAAGACCUUGCGUUAUACGAGCGGCCGAUGUCAGAUUAGCUAGUUGGUGAGGUAAAGGCUCACCAAGGCGACGAUCUGUAGCGGGUCUGAGAGGAUGAUCCGCCACACUGGGACUGAGACACGGCCCAGACUCCUACGGGAGGCAGCAGUGGGGAAUUUUGGACAAUGUGGGCAACCCUGAUCCAGCCAUGCCGCGUGAGUGAAGAAGGCCUUCGGGUUGUAAAGCUCUUUCGGCCGGGAAGAAAUCGCACAGGCUAAUACUCUGUGUGGAUGAUGGUACCGGCAUAAGAAGCACCGGCUAACUACGUGCCAGCCGCCGCAGUAA